rnacentral:rRNA from 1 species
GGUUGAUCCUGCCAGUAGUCAUAUGCUUGUCUCAAAGAUUAAGCCAUGCAUGUCUAAGUAUAAGCAACUUGUACAGUGAAACUGCGAAUGGCUCAUUAAAUCAGUUAUAGUUUAUUUGAUGGUUACUUUCCACAUGGAUAACUGUGGUAAUUCUAGAGCUAAUACAUGCAACAAAAGCCCAGACUUCUGGAAUGGGUGUAUUUAUUAGAUUCAAAGCCAAUGGCCUUCGGGUCUUGUGGUGAUUCAUAAUAACUUGUCGAAUCGUAUGCCCUUGCGGCGACGAUGCUUCAUU